CUCCCUUUUAGCUGGGGGUGCGAGGGGCGGGGUGAGGGUGGGAGGACGUAUGGCAUAUCCCUAGGCAUGUGCUAAGAUACAGACCUGGGACCUCUCAGUUACAUGAUUGCCAGUUUCAUUGACCCCUUCCUCAGCCUCUAAGGAAAUUCAGGCCAGACUAAGAAAGGACUCAGGCUGGAGCAGGUCCCUGAGGGCUCAGCCACACUUGUGUAUACUCUGCCUGUCAGAGCUGGCCUGGCCACAGAUAUCAUCUAGGUCCCUGCCUACCCUGAAGCUCUGGAAUGGGCAUACAUUGAAGGAGGCAGACCUGGACUUCAGGGCUCUUGAUCCCAGUCUGACGUUCGUUCCACUACAAAAAGGGGGUCUGGAAUUCAUUUUCAGUAAUGAAGGCUUUCUCCAUGAAAUCUUAACCAUUAUAUAAAGCAGAACAGGUCUGCCUGAAGCGAGUUAGGGCAUCUAAAAGAUCACCAUCUUGGCCUCUGCCUUCCUGUCUCAGCCUUUAAGUCACUUCUAAUAAACCUGUCUUAUUUUUUACCGUUAGAUCUCAACAGGGGAAGUUGGUCCAGUGAGGUCCUAAGCCCAUGCAGAAGUGGCAGCUACUUCCCUCCAGCCUGUUUCACCCACUUCCUUCACCUUCCUCACUACAGCCAGAGACCUUUAAAAAACCCAGAUCAAGCUGGUUGUUAUGUGGAGAACAGGCUUGAGGAAGGCAAGAGUAAAGGCAGAGAGGCCUAUUAAGAAGACAUUGUUGGCUGGGCAUGGUGGCUUAUGUAUGUAUAAUCCCAGCACUUUGGGAGGUGGAGGCGAGAGGAUCGCCUGAGCCCAGGAGUUCGAGACCAGCCUGGGCAACAUAGUGGAACCCCAUCUCUACAAAAAAUAAAGGUAAAAAACCAGCCAGGUGUGAUGGUGCAUGCCUGUGGUCCCAACUACUUGGGAAGCUGAGGCAAGAGGAUCUCUUGAGUCCAAGAGGUUGAGGCUGCAGUGAACUGUGUUCACACCACAGAACUAUAGCCUGGGGCAACAUAACAAGACCUUGUCUCAAAAAAAAAAAAAAAAAAAAAAAAAGAUUGUUAUAGUCCAAGUGAGAGAUGACAUUGAGAAGUUGUGCUAAGUAUGGGUACUGUGUGUUCCAUACACCUAACACUCCUUCUUCCAACCUUCAGGCCCCAGGGAAACACUUUCCCACAUAUCUUGCCCUACAUCCUCAAAACAAAAAAUCAUGUAUUUUACAUAGAGUAAAAUGCUCACAUGUAAGUGCCUAGUUUGAGGAGCUUGCACAAGUGUAUACACCUCUGUAACCACCACCCAUUCAAGCAUGGGUAGAGACCAUUUCCAUCAUUUCCACCACAUGACUGUGUCUAAAGUUCUGUGGGUUGUGCUGCUGUUCACACCAGAAACAGCCACUGCUCUCGAGUAAGGAAAGCAAGUGAGUGGCAGAAGCUCUUGGGUAAGAAAAGCACACAUCAAUUAAUCCUGUGAAGUCUUUUCUCUCACAUAACAUGAAUGCCUAAUGGGGUAUCAUUUUCCAGAAAAGCAUUGUCCAUUUUCUUGCUUCUUUUUGUGUUCCGAUUUGUAGUUUUGGAGGAAUUCAGGAAUGGCUUACUAUUUGCAAUAGUUGCAUGUGGCAGCUCAUUAAUAUUAAACAAUAUUAAACAACUCAUACUACUCUAAUAUUGUAGUGUAGGUAGGUCUAGUUGUAGACCUACAUAUACAUGAUAUUGAUUCUUUAUGGACUUAGCUACUGUGUUAAGGAAUGAUGAAAAUUAUUAUAUGAGUGGUAGUGAUUUAUAUGAUGAAAUAAAAAUAGAAUGUAUUAUACGUAUUUACCAUUUUAUAAAUCUAUUUUAACAUAUAAAUAUAGUUUGUAUUGUGUAAUUAUGUGUUCCUAUAUUUGACCAUAAUAUAUAAAAUUCAUGCUACUUUUAAAAUCUAAUGUUACUUUAAGAUUUUUAUUGACAAUCCCUGUUGCUACUGCCUUAGCAGAGCAAACUUUUUCCAAAUUGAAAUCAAUGCCAAAAAAAAACCUCUAAAACUUACAGUGUCCCAAUAAAGGUUAUUUUGUUUUUGA